rnacentral:rRNA from 1 species
GUAGGUGGCAAGCGUUGUCCGGAAUUAUUGGGCGUAAGGCGCGCGCAGGCGGUUCUUUAAGUCUGAUGUGAAAGCCCACGGCUCAACCGUGGAGGGUCAUUGGAAACUGGAGAACUUGAGUACAGAAGAGGAAAGCGGAAUUCCACGUGUAGCGGUGAAAUGCGUAGAGAUGUGGAGGAACACCAGUGGCGAAGGCGGCUUUCUGGUCUGUAACUGACGCUGAGGCGCGAAAGCGUGGGGAGCAAACAGGGAUUAGAUACCCUGGUAGUCCACGCCGUAAACGAUGAGUGCUAAGUGUUAGGGGGGUUUCCGCCCCCUUAGUGCUGCAGCUAACGCAUUAAGCACUCCGCCUGGGGAUACGGCCGCAAGGCUG